AUUGAACGCUGGCGGAAUGCUUUACACAUGCAAGUCGAACGGCAGCACGGACUUCGGUCUGGUGGCGAGUGGCGAACGGGUGAGUAAUAUAUCGGAACGUGCCCAGUCGUGGGGGAUAACGUAGUGAAAAUUACGCUAAUACCGCAUACGAUCUAUGGAUGAAAGCGGGGGACCUUUGGGCCUCGCGCGAUUGGAGCGGCCGAUAUCAGAUUAGGUAGUUGGUGGGGUAAAGGCUCACCAAGCCAACGAUCUGUGGCUGGUCUGAGAGGACGACCAGCCACAUUGGGAUGGAGACACGGCCCAGACUCCUACGGGAGGCAGCAUUGGGGAAUUUUGGACAAUGGACGCAAGUCUGAUCCAGCCAUUCCGCGUGCAGGACGAAGGCCUUCGGGUUGUAAACUGCUUUUGUACAGAACGAAAAGGUUUCUACUAAUACUAGGAGCUCAUGACGGUACUGUAAGAAUAAGCACCGGCUAACUACGUGCCAGCCGCCGCCGUAA
rnacentral:rRNA from 1 species